UACAAUAUGCCGUUCGCGCCCUUCAUCGGAAUAAACCGACAUGGCCAGUCUUUCAUGCUGGGUUGCGCAUUUGUGAGACAGGAGUUGGCAUCGAUCUUUGAUUGGGUCUUCCGAGCAUUCCUAGAGGCUAUGGAUGGCAAACCUCCUGACAACUUCAUAACCGAUCAGGAUGGUGCAAUGAGGCAGUCAAUACAGAGCAUCUUUCCAUCCACAGUGCAUCGCUGUUGUCGAUGGCACAUCAUGAAAAAGGGUCAAGAAAAAGUUGGUUGGCUGUUGUGCCGGAAUCCAGGGCUCUCUGAU
rnacentral:rRNA from 1 species